UACGGGGGGGGGCAAGCGUUUGUUCGGAAUUACUGGGCGUAAAGGGCUCGUAGGCGGCCAACUAAGUCAGACGUGAAAUCCCUCGGCUUAACCGGGGAACUGCGUCUGAUACUGGAUGGCUUGAGUGUAGGAGAGGGAGUGCGGAAUUCCAGGUGUAGCGGUGGAAUGCGUAGAGAUCCGGAAGAACACCGGUGGCGAAGGCGGCCUGCUGGGCAGUUGCUGCACUG
rnacentral:rRNA from 1 species